UACGGAGGGUGCAAGCGUUAAUCGGAAUUACUGGGCGUAAAGCGCGCGUAGGCGGUUCGAUGAGUCUGUCGUGAAAGCCCUGGGCUUAACCUGGGAACUGCGGUGGAUACUGUCGGACUCGAGUGUGGUAGAGGGUAGUGGAAUUUCCGGUGUAGCAGUGAAAUGCAUAGAGAUCGGAAGGAACACCAGUGGCGAAGGCGGCUACCUGGACCAACACUGACGCUGAGGUGCGAAAGCGUGGGGAG
rnacentral:rRNA from 1 species